rnacentral:rRNA from 1 species
AGAGUUUGAUCAUGGCUCAGAUUGAACGCUGGCGGCAGGCCUAACACAUGCAAGUCGAACGGUAACAGGAAGCAGCUUGCUGCUUUGCUGACGAGUGGCGGACGGGUGAGUAAUGUCUGGGAAACUGCCUGAUGGAGGGGGAUAACUACUGGAAACGGUGGCUAAUACCGCAUAACGUCGCAAGACCAAAGAGGGGGACCUUCGGGCCUCUUGCCAUCAGAUGUGCCCAGAUGGGAUUAGCUUGUUGGUGAGGUAACGGCUCACCAAGGCGACGAUCCCUAGCUGGUCUGAGAGGAUGACCAGCCACACUGGAACUGAGACACGGUCCAGACUCCUACGGGAGGCAGCAGUGGGGAAUAUUGCACAAUGGGCGCAAGCCUGAUGCAGCCAUGCCGCGUGUAUGAAGAAGGCCUUCGGGUUGUAAAGUACUUUCAGCGGGGAGGAAGGUGUUGUGGUUAAUAACCGCAGCAAUUGACGUUACCCGCAGAAGAAGCACCGGCUAACUCCGUGCCAGCAGCCGCGGUAAUACGGAGGGUGCAAGCGUUAAUCGGAAUUACUGGGCGUAAAGCGCACGCAGGCGGUCUGUCAAGUCGGAUGUGAAAUCCCCGGGCUCAACCUGGGAACUGCAUUCGAAACUGGCAGGCUUGAGUCUUGUAGAGGGGGGUAGAAUUCCAGGUGUAGCGGUGAAAUGCGUAGAGAUCUGGAGGAAUACCGGUGGCGAAGGCGGCCCCCUGGACAAAGACUGACGCUCAGGUGCGAAAGCGUGGGGAGCAAACAGGAUUAGAUACCCUGGUAGUCCACGCCGUAAACGAUGUCUACUUGGAGGUUGUGCCCUUGAGGCGUGGCUUCCGGAGCUAACGCGUUAAGUAGACCGCCUGGGGAGUACGGCCGCAAGGUUAAAACUCAAAUGAAUUGACGGGGGCCCGCACAAGCGGUGGAGCAUGUGGUUUAAUUCGAUGCAACGCGAAGAACCUUACCUGGUCUUGACAUCCACGGAAGUUUUCAGAGAUGAGAUUGUGCCUUCGGGAACCGUGAGACAGGUGCUGCAUGGCUGUCGUCAGCUCGUGUUGUGAAAUGUUGGGUUAAGUCCCGCAACGAGCGCAACCCUUAUCCUUUGUUGCCAGCGAUUAGGUCGGGAACUCAAAGGAGACUGCCAGUGAUAAACUGGAGGAAGGUGGGGAUGACGUCAAGUCAUCAUGGCCCUUACGACCAGGGCUACACACGUGCUACAAUGGCGCAUACAAAGAGAAGCGACCUCGCGAGAGCAAGCGGACCUCAUAAAGUGCGUCGUAGUCCGGAUUGGAGUCUGCAACUCGACUCCAUGAAGUCGGAAUCGCUAGUAAUCGUGGAUCAGAAUGCCACGGUGAAUACGUUCCCGGGCCUUGUACACACCGCCCGUCACACCAUGGGAGUGGGUUGCAAAAGAAGUAGGUAGCUUAACCUUCGGGAGGGCGCUUACCACUUUGUGAUUCAUGACUGGGGUGAAGUCGUAACAAGGUAACCGUAGGGGAACCUGCGGUUG